GAACCCAGAGAGCUCUGCUUUUACAUUUUAAGGCUUUUUCAUUUCUAGUGGAAACUUCGCCUCCUGACAUCUUCAUGAGGAAUUGCGGCUGCAUUAUCAUAGUACCAUGGACUUUCCAGCUAUUUUUAUGGAGAAAUAGUAAUUCAGAAGGAAUUGGUUUUUCUCAGCCACCCACUGCUGGAGGAGAGCUGCCCUACCCCAGAAACACAGCUAAGGCAGAACCAGCACUCCUAAAAGUAAUAAUUUGGAUUAUUUGCAAACAGAUGGCCAGAAACACAAACACUUUCGGUUACAAUUAUCACUUAUCCCUUUGGCUGCCAAUACUCCACUGCACGCGUCUUUGCUGCUCUAUGCUAAUAACAUGAACUGAAAGGACUUGGAAUGUCAGCUCUUACCUGCUGUACUCCAUGAGUGAGCUGCCAGCUGGGCUGUUUGAGGGAAGCUUUGGGCUUCAAGCAUUAGGUCUGGGCUCUGGAGACUUGUGUUCCUACCAGGGCUCUGCCUUAGAUUUCCUGUGUGACCUUGAACAUAUAAUACUCCCACAACCUCAGCUGCCCAUCUGUUAACACAGGCAUGGUAAUUAUGAUGGGAAUGAAUUUAACUUUGUAACAAUUCUUAAGGUUGAAGACCCUUCAUCAGAAAUGUGGUUCGAACUGUGGCCCUGGAGAUAGAUUCCAUCUGAGAAAGGAAUCUCUCAUGGUGGUAGAGGACAAGGUGCUUUCCGUGGUGUGUUUGCUGAACUGCUAAAGAGUGACUGGAAUGCAGGAACCUUAAAGCUGGGCUCAAACCAUUCUGGUUCUUUUUUAUUAUUUUUCAGAAGUCCCACACUGGCCAUUCCUGUUCCAUCUCUUGACAUGGCCAUUGUACAUCUGCUUCCCCUGCAGACCCAGCAUCACUUUUCUCCAGUAAAUUUAUCUCGGCUAUUACAUCAUCACUUUUUCCUCUGGCCUGUCUUUGCUUCUGGGUGACUCUGAAAAUUGCUUAUUUAUAUAGCUGCAACUCUUUACAUCGCAAAAUAAGCUUUUUUAAAAGCUGUUUAGUGCAUCUGAGUACUUUGGGGGAUGUCCAGCCUUUGUUAAAUGAGCUGUUGCUUCAUGGGAUCAGGAGGACCACGGGGACAGAGCUAAGGAGCCAGGGCUCAGAGCUGACAGGUGAAUGCUCCAUACACACACAGCAAACACACCUGUAAAUGUUAAUUACCCUGCACACCCAGCUGUUAACCUGCCUGAACUGGACAGUCACUGGACAGAUGUUCUCUUUAGUAAGAGCCAGGCUCUUCUGUCCUUCCCCUCCUCACAGGGGGAACCUGCCUUGUACAGAUUACUUCUGUGCUGCCCAAGUGUUCACCCUCAUCACCUCCUGCAUGCACUGGCCAGUACAUCUUACUCACCAGGCUGUGUGUAACUGCCACACAGUCAAACCAUCCUAAUUUCAAAUAUUUUCUUUUCUGUUUUCUAUGAACAGCUUUCACUAUAAACAUUA